CUACGGGAGGCAGCAGUAAGGAAUAUUGGACAAUGGGGGCAACCCUGAUCCAGCGACGCCGCGUGGGUGACGAAGGCCUUCGGGUUGUAAAGCCCUUUUGCCGGGGACGAUGAUGACGGUACCCGGAGAAUAAGCACCGGCUAACUCCGUGCCAGCAGCCGCGGUAAGACGGAGGGUGCUAGCGUUGUUCGGAAUUACUGGGCGUAAAGGGCGCGUAGGCGGCCAUGUAAGUCGGGUGUGAAAGCCCGGGGCUCAACCCCGGAACGGCACCCGAGACUGUGUGGCUGGAGACCGGAAGAGGUGAGUGGAAUACCCAGUGUAGAGGUGAAAUUCGUAGAUAUUGGGUGGAACACCGGUGGCGAAAGCGGCUCACUGGUCCGGUUCUGACGCUGAGGCGCGAAAGCGUGGGGAGCAAACAGGAUUAGAUACCCGAGUAGUCC
rnacentral:rRNA from 1 species